UGGUCAGAAUCCAGGUGGGGCAACUCAACAACUUCUCCAUCACUUACUGAUAUAAAGUUGGUUCAUGUGGGAUCCUGCCUGAUGAAAAGCCAUGUUUUCUUGGAGUUGGCAGAUGUUCAAGAUAGCGAACAAUUAGAGACAAGGGACAGGAGGCAAGGGCUUUUAAAAGGUGAUAUGUACACCAGUGGGAAGCCUGGCCAGGGAGAGGUCCCACAGUGCAAGUGACCUUCCAAUGCAAAGGAGCAGUUUCCAGCCACAAAACUGUGAGGGUGGGGCCUCCACUUCCUGUCUUGUCCUUUCUAUAGAAGGUCAAGGACACUGGGGACAAGAUAUGACCACUUAGUGUGCUCUGAGAGUGUCCGAUGAGCACCACUUGUGGGCACAAGCUCUGUCACUAGGGAAUGAAGGGACGACUUAGAACUCGAGUGUCAAAGCCUUGAGCAACUGAGAGCUCACUUCAGGGGAGCUGAUAAUCUCGGUGGGGGCUGCAAGGCCAGGAUGACCAAAUACUGGGAAAACUGAGGGCUAGGUGGCUGCUCUUGGCUAGCCUGGCAUCAGAGGAACCAGGCUGGACUAGAAUAGGGGCCCAGCUCUUCUGCAGCCCACUUGCUGGGUUUCCUUUGAACUUCAGGUUCCUACCAUACCAGGUCACUUCUCAAGUGGGCUCACCCAAUCAGCUCUCUUUAUCAUGAAAGUAAUUAAACCCAGCUGAUGGUAUAUAUGGAUACUCCAACCCCAUUGUGCAAUGUUUUGACUCCUUGCCUGUCUCUUCCUUACACUUGUCUUUAGAGGAGCUGAGAAUGCUGUAAAGUAUCUCCCAGUCCAUGCAGGGGAUGAAACAGAACUGGGGUGGGUCCCUGGGAUUGUUCCUAGGCCAAUGGAAGUGUGCUAUUUCCUUAAUUCAUGCUUCCUGGCCCAGUGGAGUGGCCCAAUACUAUGGCGCCAGCUAUCCUAUCGAACUCGGUGGGGCCUGAAGCAAUGUGUGUCCUGGGAAUAGAGAGUUUAAGAAACAGGCGUUUUCUCCACCCCCGGGCGUCAGGAACCACACACAGACUACCGUCCUCUGACUCUACAGCUCAUGCUCCCCAGUGGAGAGGCAUUAUCAAGCAGAAGUCAGCUCUGUGUGAGCCAGGAGAAUCCUCAGCUGACCCGCUUCACGGCUGACGGUCCUUUUAGUCUCCAAUCUUAGAUUGCGGCUCCUUCAGUCAUGGGCAGUGUACACAUGGAACUGAUUUUCAGCUGAUCAAGAGCAGAAUUGACCUCAGGUUUCAUAUUUGGGGAAAGUCGCACACUCUGAAGGGAAGAAGAAAUGGAAAUAAAACAGUUUGUCACACAAAAGGCAAAGACCUGGAGGGAUGAGUUCAGGCUUUUAAAAAAGUUGCUGUGUGGAAUUCCGUGGGUAAAGAAUUAGAGGAGAGGAGCAGGGCCAGUAGCCCGCCUGCCUGCGUCUCAGAGACAGUGCCAGUGUACGCUGUGCCCUUGGCAGCUCUUCUCCAACCCUGUCACCUCUGCUGUCAGGCUGCCUUCCAAGUGUAUUCUAACAGCUCACACACAGCUCAGGGCAGGAGGGAAAAAGCAAGGUUGAGCAUCUCAGCCAUCUUCCCAGGAGUCACUGCUUGAUCGUAGAACGUCCCAACCAGCCCAAGCAUGGAGAGUUGAGUCUGCAACUUGAGGUGGGAGAGCUUUUGGGAGUUGGGUUCAGUGAGAGCUGUAGAAUCCCAAUGUUUCACAUCUGUCUCAUUCAUUCUCUCUCUCUCUCUCUCUCUCUCUCUCUCUCUCUUUCUCUCCCUCCCAUCUAUCUAUCUAUCUAUCUAUCUAUCUAUCUAUCUAUCUAUCUAUCUAUCUACCUACCUACCUACCUACCUACCUCCUUCCUUUUGCUGCCUGGUUGCAAAGUGAGUGGAUUUGUUCGACUGUAUACUUUGGCCAUAAUGUGUCACUUCAGGCCUCAAGCAAUGGAAAGAGUGGAGUGUGACCAGAAGCUUCCAAAACUGUGAGCCCAACUGAACCUUCUCUGCCAAGAAGCUGCGUUUGGGCUUUUGUGAGCGAUGGUACGUCAACUGAUAUGCUUUUCUGCUGGAGGAAGGCCCAUAAAAUUCUCCCUGGGACCAGAGACAUCCUAGCCUUGAAUACUGAUGAGAUGCAUGAGGCCCACAGCAGACAUCCCAGAAAGGAAAGUUUGCGAAGCACCAUUCAAACAUGAGCCCUACAUGUCUUCCUACCAUCUGCCUCUUUCCCACUUUCAUCUUGGAAGGACUAACUAUAGGAGGUGGAUGAGGAAGGAGCAAGGGCCGCUCAAGGACCAGAUUACCUGGCCUACUGUGCUGCCGUUCGUUCCAAUCCAACCACGCAACAUGCCGCCGUGGAUGCCGUGGAUGCUGCCGUGGAUGCCGCUGUGGAUGCCGCUGUGGAUGCUGUGAGCAGCUGCAUCACUGCAGAGUAGAUCUGCUUUGACUUGGGAUCCAGUGAAACAUCACCUGAUGAUAAUGAACCCUCUCCAGGACAGGAGAACCAAAGAGCAGAGUGACAGGAGGAGGUUCCCUGAGGAGCCGUCACUGGGUCCUAUCAUCAGUGAACACCGGCCUCCCAAACCCCUAGACUAAGGGGCUGAAAGGAGGUGGGGUGCAGACUGUUCACUUGCUUCACACUCUAUGUUGUUGCCUCUCUAUCUCAGGGAAAAACAGCAUAUUUCCCAGGGAUAACAACAAGCCUCGCUCUGUGGUCAUCAAAUCACAGGGCUGGGGUCAGCCUCGUAUGGACUGAGAGCUACAGGGAGGAGCCAGGCCAGGAUUCCAGGAGUCUGCUCAAACACCUGUUGCCAUUCAGACAACCCUGGGAGCCAGGCACAAGCUCCCCUGCCGCUCCUCUAGCUGCGGGGUCUGAGCUAACCGCUCCUCCUCCCUUUACUUCAACAUGAGGCCAGUACUGUUCCCUGGAGAAGGACGUAGUCCACAUGGCUUCCACCUUAUGAAGCUACAUCCCUCCAGCCUCUGCAGGAUCUGUGGGAUGGAACACCCAUGGUGAGAGAACUGAGUGUCCUACUGGACUCAGGGUCUUCACCAGCUUGCCCCCUCUUCCAACAUUAUCACUGAUCAGUGCAGAGACUGUCUUCUCUGGAAAGCCUGGAAAGGGUUUAAGAACGUGUCCCCAGCUAAUCCCUGCAAAGUCAAUGUAGAGUUGUGCCUGACCCUGGACAGAAUCACCCAGGGAAGGGCAGUGUUUCUCCACCUCGUCCCAGGUCACUGCUGAUGUGAAGAUGAGGAACGUGGGAACAUCCACGUGGACAAUCUCUCCUUGGCCUUAAAGGGCUGGUCUGCCCUGAAAGAGCCACGGCUCAGGGAGGCUGCUCUUGAGAGCACAAGUCCUAGCCAAACGGAGAGAACUUCAUGGCUGUAACAUGCUGCAAUUGAACUCCAAGGGCUCUCACGUCUAUGAACUUAAAGAUACAUCACACAGAUGAUGAUACAUACAGAGAUGAGAAAGAGUUAAUACCUUCAGCAGGGUUGAAGACAGCUCUGAAACCUCCAUUUGUGAUGGCUGCUGUUACCCUGAACAGACCUUAGCUCCCCAGAGAAGAAGAGGAGCGGAUGCCAGGAUGGUGCCCACCUCCCCGCAGCUCCCAGGCAUGCGUCGAUGGCAAUGCUGAUGCGCAACAGUGCAUGGUUGUUUCCAUGUACUGCUUUUCCUUUGUCUGGAAGGAUGUCUCCCCACUUGCAGAGCACAGAGGUGUCCAGGCGGCAUUAAUUGUCCCCACCCCUUCUCCAGGCUCCUUUCUGCUGUUGCAGGAUGCCCCAGUCCUGCGCUGGUGUGCAUCUAUUCUGUCAGGCUUCAAGCUUUUUCCCACCUUGGGGUGCCUGCAAACCAAGUGUCAACAUCUCAUCCUCUUAAGUCCUUUAAGAGCCAACCCCCCUCCAUUUGCUGAAUAAAAUUUGCCCAGGGUAAAGAUACCCUUUGCCCUAAGGGAAAAGGCAAUGUAGAGUGUUCAGGUCCUCUGUGGGCCACAGAGUUACAUUCUCAACUGCUGCUGCGUGCACGCAGCUCACAGUGGCCCUUCGCAUAGUGUCCUCCCUCGUUGUCUUCCCGUAGCCUAAUGAGGAAUGGCUACAGCUUUGGCCACAGAGCCCGUAAAUCUUUCUUGUACCUUUGGAAGUACAAAUGAGAGGUACCGGUUCGUUAUGUCGACCUGUGCCGAUAGGUGUGCUGUACAGUCACCUCAGGGUUAGACAGGUUAGAGAAUGGGUCACGGACAGAAACCUCCAAAAAUUGGGGACAAAAUUACUCUUCUGUGCUCAGAAACUGAAUACCUCUGAAUUUGUGCAUUUAUAGACGGCUGACUGACACACUCGUGUCCUUGGAGGAAGGCAUUAUAUGGCAUAUUCCUCCAAAUAGCCAAUGGAGGAGACUCAGAGUAGUAGAAAUGCGGAGAAGAUGUUUGGACUGCCAAAUUGCAUGUAACUUUGCAGAGAGGCCCAGGUUUUCAGCUUUCAUGGACUGUUGCCCAUGUUUGGGUGGGCCUUCUGGUGGUAAAAAUGGCUUUUUUUUCAAGGUCAUUGCUGUACCUUGUAUGUAACCCCACGCCAAUAUUCCUGAUAGUAACCCCAAUAAAACUUCAUUGUCU